rnacentral:rRNA from 1 species
GAGUUUGAUCGUGGCUCAGGAUGAACGCUGGCGGCGUGCCUAACACAUGCAAGUCGAACGCUCGCAAGAGAGUGGCGCACGGGUGAGUAACACGUAGCUAAUCUGCCCUCAAGACCGGGAUAACACUAGGAAACUAGUGCUAAUACCGGAUAAGCUUCCGUGCUGUAGAGGCAACAAAAAGAAAAGAUUCAUCGCUUGAGGAUGAGGCUGUGAGCCAUCAGCUAGUUGGUGCGGUAAUGGCGUACCAAGGCGACGACGGCUAGGGGACCUGAGAGGGUCGACCCCCCACACUGGGACUGAGACACGGCCCAGACUCCUACGGGAGGCAGCAGUGAGGAAUAUUGCUCAAUGGGCGCAAGCCUGAAGCAGCGACGCCGCGUGGAUGAAGAAGGUUUUCGGACUGUAAAAUCCUUUUCUGUGUGACGAGAGUGGACGGUAGCACAGGAAUAAGUCUCGGCUAACUACGUGCCAG